CAAUGGAGGAAACUCUGAACCAGCUACGCCGUGUGCAGGAUGACGGUCUUUUUGGUUGUAAACUGCUUUUGUAUAGAAAUAAAACUCUUACGUGAUAGGAGCUUGAAGGUACUAUACGAAUAAGUGUCGGCUAAUUCCGUGCCAGCAGCCGCGGCAAUACGGAAGACACAAGCGUUAUUCGGAUUUAUUGGGUUUAAAGGGUGUGUAGGCUGUUUAUUAAGUCAGUAGUGAAAGCUUACAGCUUAACUGUAAAAUUGCUAUUGAUACUGGUAUAACUUGAGUAAGAUUGGAGCAUUUGGAAUGUAUGGUGUAGCGGUGAAAUGCAUAGAUAUCAUACAGAACACCGAUAGCGAAGGCAGGCUGCUAAAUCUUUACUGACGCUGAGUGCACGAAAGCGUGGGUAGCAAACAGGAUUAGAUACCCUGGUAGUCCACGCCCUAAACGAUGAUCACUAGCUAUUGGAAAAACGAUAUUCAGUGGCUUAGCGAAAGCGAUAAGUGAUCCACCUGGGAAGUACAGUCGCAAGAUUGAAACUCAAAGGAAUUGACGGGGGUUCGCACAAGCGGUGGAGCAUGUGGUUUAAUUCGAUAUACGC
rnacentral:rRNA from 1 species